AACGAACGCUGGCGGCAUGCCUAACACAUGCAAGUCGAACGCGACCUUCGGGUCUAGUGGCGCACGGGUGCGUAACGCGUGGGAACCUGCCCUUAGGUUCGGAAUAACUCCCCGAAAGGGGUGCUAAUACCGGAUAAUGUCUUCGGACCAAAGAUUUAUCGCCUUUGGAUGGGCCCGCGUUGGAUUAGCUAGUUGGUAGGGUAAAAGCCUACCAAGGCGACGAUCCAUAGCUGGUCUGAGAGGAAGAUCAGCCACACUGGGACUGAGACACGGCCCAGACUCCUACGGGAGGCAGCAGGGGGGAAUAUUGGACAAUGGGCGAAAGCCUGAUCCAGCAAUGCCGCGUGAGUGAUGAAGGCCUUAGGGUUGUAAAGCUCUUUUACCCGGGAUGAUAAUGACAGUACCGGGAGAAUAAGCUCCGGCUAACUCCGUG
rnacentral:rRNA from 1 species